rnacentral:rRNA from 1 species
AUUGAACGCUGGCGGCAUGCUUUACACAUGCAAGUCGAACGGUAACAGGCCGCAAGGUGCUGACGAGUGGCGAACGGGUGAGUAAUGCAUCGGAACGUGCCCAGUCGUGGGGGAUAACUACUCGAAAGAGUAGCUAAUACCGCAUACGAUCUAUGGAUGAAAGCGGGGGACCGUAAGGCCUCGCGCGAUUGGAGCGGCCGAUGUCAGAUUAGGUAGUUGGUGGGGUAAAGGCUCACCAAGCCAACGAUCUGUAGCUGGUCUGAGAGGACGACCAGCCACACUGGGACUGAGACACGGCCCAGACUCCUACGGGAGGCAGCAGUGGGGAAUUUUGGACAAAGGGCGCAAGCCUGAUCCAGCAAUGCCGCGUGCAGGAAGAAGGCCUUCGGGUUGUAAACUGCUUUUGUACGGAACGAAACGGCUCUGGUUAAUACCCGGGGCUAAUGACGGUACCGUAAGAAUAAGCACCGGCUAACUACGUA